rnacentral:misc_RNA from 1 species
GAUGAAGAACGCAGCGAAAUGCGAUAAGUAAUGUGAAUUGCAGAAUUCCGUGAAUCAUCGAAUCUUUGAACGCACAUUGCGCCCGCCAGUAUUCUGGCGGGCAUGCCUGUCUGAGCGUCAUUUCAACCCUCAUGCCCCUAGGGCGUGGUGUUGGGGAUCGGCCAAAGCCCGCGAGGGACGGCCGGCCCCUAAAUCUAGUGGCGGACCCGUCGUGGCCUCCUCUGCGAAGUAGUGAUAUUCCGCAUCGGAGAGCGAUGAGCCCCUGCCGUUAAACCCCCAACUUUCCAAGGUUGACCUCAGAUCAGGUAGGAAUACCCGCUGAACUUAAGCAUAUCAAUAAGCGGAGA